UACGUAGGGGGCGAGCGUUGUCCGGAGUUACUGGGCGUAAAGCGCACGCAGGCGGUCUGCUAAGUUUGGAGUGACAGUUGGUGGCUUAACUGCCAAAGUGCUUCGAAAACUGACAGACUUGAGGGCUUCAGAGGGACACGGAAUUCCGGGUGGAGUGGUGAAAUGCGUAGAGAUCCGGAGGAACACCAGUGGCGAAGGCGACACGCUGGGCCGUACCUGACACUGAUGCGCGACAGCAUGGGGAGCAAACAGG
rnacentral:rRNA from 1 species